AGAUAAAAUACAAUGACGACCCCCUGCCGUAGAACAAAUCUGGUGAACCUUGCAUUUGACUGCCAAUAGAACUUUUUAAAAUCUUUCCAGAAUAGGAUGAUAGAAGUGAAAUCAUCCAAGAAGGAGAUCAAUGCAAAGGUUUGCAUCUGCAGAAAACCAAAGGCUUUGUUUUGUCUGUUCUAUUUACAGUAAUUUUGUCUGUUUGUAAAGAUGGAGAGAAUAUGAAGACAGGUACGUUUCUUUCAGAGAGGCUGAAGUAUAUUAUACUAAUAGAAAAAAUAGACAGAGGUAAGUUAAGAUAAUUUUAGUAAAACAAUGAGAAAUAUCACUUGCAUUCUAAACUAUUUUGGAGAGGAGUAAAAAUAUAAAUAAACCAGCAAAAGCAUGAUGUCCAAAAAUGAACUUAAGUCAAUCAAUGGAUUGUAUAAUAAACUAUGAGGUCCAUAAGAGUCAAAAUGAAACUCCAAAUAAGCAGACUAAGCCUCUGAAUAUGACUAAUAUAGGCCAAAAGAAAUAUCGUAGC